rnacentral:rRNA from 1 species
UGGGGAAUUUUGCACAAUGGGGGAAACCCUGAUGCAGCGACGCCGCGUGAUUUAGAAGGCCUUCGGGUUGUAAAAAUCUUUUCUAUGGGAAGAAAAUGACAGUACCAUAGGAAUAAGGACCGGCUAAUUACGUGCCAGCAGCCGCGGUAAUACGUAAGGUCCGAGCGUUGUCCGGAAUCAUUGGGCGUAAAGGGUACGUAGGCGGGUAAGCAAGUUAGAAGUGAAAUCCUAUAGCUCAACUAUAGUAAGCUUUUAAAACUGCUCAUCUUGAGGUAUGGAAGGGAAAGUGGAAUUCCUAGUGUAGCGGUGAAAUGCGCAGAUAUUAGGAGGAAUACCGGUGGCGAAGGCGACCUUCUGGCCAUAACCUGACGCUGAGGUACGAAAGCGUGGGUAGCAAACAGG